CCCCCCCCCCCCAAAAAAAAAAAAAUACUAAAUAACAAAAUCUAUUCUCCAAUUUACCCGCCAAACAGUUCCUUGAAUUUUUUUUAACCUCUCUAACUUUUAAAAUUUCCCAAUUCCCCCCUCUAGUCUUUCUCUUUCUCCCUCUCCCCUUCUCUCGUUCUGGUUCUUGUCUCUCGUCAGAGAAACAACGUCGCUUUUGGGUUAAUUUUUUCAAUGGAUCCGGAUGUGGCGAUCGACCAAAACGCAGCGUUUGAGUCUUCUACGGCGGUAGGAGAGAAAAGAGGGAUCGAAAACGGGGCCGUGUCCCUGGCCAAGAAGCAGCGAUGCGGUGGGGAGUUAAAGAGAGUGGCGGAGAUAGUGCUUGUGCUGUCGGCGAUGGGGAAGAUGAGAGGCGGAGGGAGGAAUCCUACAGCGGCGGAGACGGCGUUGAUGGCUGAGGCUCGUGAGACGUUGGCAGAGAUGUGUGAAGAGAUUUCCCCUAAGGAUAUUGUCGGGAGGGAAGCGAUUGGGAAUGUAAUCGAAGAAUUGGGGCUUAAUUCAAAACUCAAAGAGCAGAGAUUAGGGUUUAGGGGUAUGGGAAUGUCGAUUUUUCAGAAGGUUUUACUUGCUAAAAUUAAGAUGGAAGAACCCAAGAAAUUUGCUGCACCUGCUUCGUAUACAUCUCAGUCAUUGCAAACAAAUGUUGGUGGAUCAGCGGAAAACCGUGGAGCAUCACAUGCAGCUCGACCAAUUCAUGCAACUGUAUCUUCUGGAGGUUUCCCGGUUUUGUCUCCUCCUACUCAUGUUAUAGCAGCAGGUUCAACUCCCUUACAGCAUCAGUUGCCCACCAGCGAUGUAAAAACGCCCACAAUGUCCACUGGACUGCCAAGUGGCCAUUUAGGAAGGGACUCAUCUUCAUUUGCAUAUCCCAGGGUUGAAAGACCGCAAAUUAAGUUUGAUGGAGGAUCAAAUGUGGCUUCUUAUGUCUCCCAAGUACCAGCUAAUUCUUCAGCAAGCCCUACACUCGUGAAUGCUCCGACUUGGUCCAUACAGGCUCAACCUGCAGCAUUAGCUAAAUCUGGGCAAGAAAACAAGGUUUUGACUCAUAACACAACCAAGGUUGAAGGAAGUGCCGGUUUGACUAUGCCACAGAUGGCUCCUCAAGCGGCAAGAGAUCAAACUUUUAGACCAUUCAUUACUCAAACUGCAACUGGAACUUUUCCCAGUGUGCACCAGCCUGUGCAAGGCAUGAACUUUGCACAAGCUCCCCCCUUUGUUAGUAAUCACAAUGAAAUUGCUCAAAUUGUUCAAAAGUUGUUACAACCAAAACUUCAUGAGCGUCCUACUUGGACUCCUCCUUCUAGAGAGUAUAUGAAUAAGGCUUUGACUUGCCAAACGUGCAAACUUACCAUUAAUGAAGUGGAAACUGUACUGCUUUGUGAUGCAUGUGAGAAAGGAUUUCACUUGAAAUGUUUGCAGUCAAACAAUCAGAAAGGAAUCCCUAGAGGUGAGUGGCACUGCUCUAGAUGCUUGUCAUUUUGCAAUGGGAAGCCUUUGCCCCCUAAAUAUGGUCGUGUCAUGAGAAGUAUCAGUGCAUCCAAAGUGCCUUCUAGCAUAGCUGAAGUUCAGUCAUCUUCAGAGAAGAAAGUGGAAAAUUUAGAUCCGAAGGUCAAUCAUGAGAAGGUAACUGCAAAUGGAAGCUCUGCUUUACAGACUCCUGCUGUGGUUGGUACAGUGGACAGCAACUCUGUUGAGUCAGCAUCUGAUUCUAAGAUUCCAAAAGGGAACUCGACAAAACCUUUGGAGGCUGUAUGUGAUUCUCCUUCUGUUGCCGCGGUAAGUGAGAGACCUUCUGAACAUUCUCAAAUGAUUGAAUUUUCUAUUCAUGAAGAAGGGAAAGAUCCAGCGUCAACAUCACAGCCUCCUGAUACAUCAUCUAACACAAUCAGCAAUAAGGCAGAUCAUUCACAGCCUUCAAAUAACUCACAAGAUGCCCAAACAGGGCAGCAAAACUUGGCUGUAGUUACUUCAAAUAAUUGUCAUGAUGAAAGUUCUGAAGUUAAAGAUUUGGAGAAAGGCUGUUUGAAAGGAGAUAGUUACUGCAGUAUACAGAUUAAUCAAAAAGAAGGAGAUGCUGCAGCUGCACAAGCAAAUCCUGGUGGAACUUCUGGAGCUACUACUGAGAAUUCAAGGCAUGCUGAGUUUUCUUCUGAUGGUUUGCAUGCUGUUCGGUGGACUGCUGAUGUACUUCAAUUUGUGGAUGGAAAAAAGUUUUACCAGUCUUGUUGCAUUGAUGGCAUAACUUAUAAACUGCAGGAUCAUGCUCUUGUUCAUUCUGGCCAAGAUAAACUGAUACCGUCUAAGCUUCAGGCAAUGUGGGAGGAUGCUAAAACUGGGUCGAAGUGGGUGGUUGUGAAGAGGUGUUACUUUCCUAGUGAUUUGCCGGAGGCUGUUGCUCGUCCAUGCACACCUGAAAGCAGUGAGGUUUAUGAAUCUAAUAAUGAUAGCACCGUUAUGGCAAGCUCGAUUAAAGGCCCAUGUGAAGUUCUCCCUGCAACUAAAUUUAAGGAAGAAAGUCAAAGUCAGUUAGGAUUUGAGGCAAAUGAAGGAUUAAGGGCAAUUUUCUUGUGCAAAUGGCUUUAUGAUGAAUUCCAAGGAAGCUUUCACCCUAUAUCAAGUUAAUAAUGUUAUGCAUCUGUUUACUUAGCGUGAUAUCACUUUUUGCUGUGGCAAAUUAUAUCCUCUUCUCGAAUCAGGUAAAAAAAAUUGCAGCUCGGGCCUGUUGCACAUCUGAGGAUCAUUACUCGCUAUUGCCUUGUAUCAUAUGUUGUCGUAGUGCUAGUUUUGUAUCAUAGUUUGAUUAGCAAUUUAAAUUGAUAUCUUUCAUGCCUUUCCAAAAUGUUUUAACUAUAUAAUGAAUCUGCUUCACCUUUAAAUAUUUUUCAACUAUUUCUUCUAUAUUAAAUCAUUUUUGGUGCA